AGUGAACGCUGGCGGUAGGCCUAACACGUGCAAGUCGAACGGCAGCACAGUAAGAGCUUGCUCUUACGGGUGGCGAGUGGCGGACGGGUGAGGAAUACAUCGGAAUCUACUUUUUCGUGGGGGAUAACGUAGGGAAACUUACGCUAAUACCGCAUACGACCUACGGGUGAAAGCAGGGGAUCUUCGGACCUUGCGCGAUUGAAUGAGCCGAUGUCGGAUUAGCUAGUUGGCGGGGUAAAGGCCCACCAAGGCGACGAUCCGUAGCUGGUCUGAGAGGAUGAUCAGCCACACUGGAACUGAGACACGGUCCAGACUCCUACGGGAGGCAGCAGUGGAGAAUAUUGGACAAUGGGCGCAAGCCUGAUCCAGCCAUACCGCGUGGGUGAAGAAGGCCUUCGGGUUGUAAAGCCCUUUUGUUGGGAAAGAAAAGCAGCAGGUUAAUACCCCGCUGUUCUGACGGUACCCAAAGAAUAAGCACCGGCUAACUUCGUG
rnacentral:rRNA from 1 species